GAACAAUCAGCAACUAUUGACUUUGGAGGAUGCUAAGAGACACUAUAAAUAUAACAUUCUGUACCAUUUUCUUGAAAUCCAUCAUCAGAUUCUAAGUUUCCUGCUUCCUCUGGCUGUUCUGGCUAUAAAAGGGCCCCUCCUGUGCAGAGGUUGACAGGAGGAGGUAGAGAAGGAGAACUUGGAUCCCUGCUGAAACUCCUCAGAGAGAUCCAGGAAGGAAGAUGCUUAAGAUUUGGAGGCUUGUUCUCUUCUGUGGACUGCUCACACAGAGCUCAGCCUACCCCAAAAGACACAAGCCGAUCCUGACUCACCCACACCCAAAAGUGUCUGUUCAAGCAGAAGCAUCAGCACGGGCAAGCUUACUCUUAAAAACAGCGACCAGUUUACACAGCCAACUGUUGAGCACAAAUACUCCAAGAAAUCUUAAGAAACUCUCCUUCAUGAAGGCUGUGCAUGCUUUUCAAGAUGGAUUGCUUGGAAAUUUGCAUGCAGGAGUGGAUGCCAAGCUUUUUGUUCGUGAGUUUUCUUCGAUUAAAGUUAUAGAGGCCCAGAUCUUUGAUAUUAACAUCACACAAAGUGAAGACAGACAUCAGCUAUUAGCAACAUUCCCUACAACCUUGGAUAUGGAAGCAAAUAUAAAGUUUCUUGGAAAUAUUGGCUUCAUAAUAGAAGUGAACAACAAAUUUCAAAUUGGAAUAGAGAUGGAUGAAAAUGAAGAUGGUUACCUGGUCAUUCAGAAUUGUAAUACUGACUUUGUCAGUUCACAAGUCAAAACCCAUAGUAGGGUACUCAAUUCUCUCCUAGAUGGAUUUACAAGCGUUCUGAAUGCUGUGGUCCCCGAGCUGGUAGAGGAAGCACUCUGCUCAGCUGUCAGCACAUGCUUACCGAAGUUAGGUGUUAAACUGAAAACAGCUCUUGUGGAUGCAUUAAUAUGUGGAUAUGAUCUUAGUGUUAAUUAAUGAACCUUCCAGAAAGCAAACCAACUUUUUUCCAAACAGGUAAGAGCUGCCUUUUUCAAAAAUAGACUGCUUUGAUUAAUUGCGUUUUCAAAGAAUUCUUCUGGGAAAGGGACAUCCUAGAAUCUAGAAUACUGAAUUAUAGCCCCUCAGAAUUAGAGCACUGAUUGCAGUCAUGAAGACCUUGGUUCAAUUCUUGCCUCAGACACUUACUAAAUAUAUGACCCUGGGUAAAUCACUACUCAAUGAGAUCCUUCUCAGCUCUAAAUCUAUGAUCUAGCAAGAGGGGACCUAGCUCAAAUGCUCGCUUGAAGCAGGAAUGUCAUCCUCUAUCUACAGUAACUCCAAUAAUGUAUGAAAGUUUGAAGUUUAGGAUAUUGAGUAGGUGAGAAUGACAGAAAUGGAGUAACAAAGAAGAUACUAAAAGUCACAAAUGGUCAAAAAUAAAGACUCCCCUUCUCCUCCCCUAUGUCCUCUA
rnacentral:lncRNA from 1 species